UCCGUAGGUGAACCUGCGGAAGGAUCAUAG
rnacentral:rRNA from 22 species